AACGAACGCUAGCGGCGCGUUUCAGGCAUGCAAGUCGAACGGUAACAUGGAGGUGCUUGCACCUCUGGUGACGAGUGGCGCACGGGUGAGUAACGCGUAGGUAAUCUACCAUAAGGUCUGGGAUAGCUAUACGAAAGUAUAAUUAAUACCGGAUGUGCUCUUUGGAGUAAAGUUUUUUCGCCUUAUGAUGGGCCUGCGUUGGAUUAGCUAGUUGGUAGGGUAAUAGCCUACCAAGGCAACGAUCUAUAGCCGGGUUGAGAGACUGGUCGGCCACAUUGGAACUGAGACACGGUCCAGACUCCUACGGGAGGCAGCAGCUAAGAAUCUUCCGCAAUGGGCGAAAGCCUGACGGAGCGACGUCGCGUGAACGAUGAAGGCCCUUCGGGUUGUAAAGUUCUUUUAUUUAUGACGAAUGUAUUGUGUAGGCGAUACUGACGGUAAUUUAUGAAUAAGGUCCGGCUAACUACGUGCCAGCAGCCGCGGUAAUACGUAGGGACCGAGCGUUGUUCGGAAUUAUUGGGCGUAAAGGGUACGUAGGCGGCUUGAUAAGUCAGAUGUGAAAUCCUCGGGCUCAACCUGAGGCUUGCGUCUGAUACUGUCUCGCUAGAGUUAUGGAGAGGAAAUCGGAAUUUCCAGUGUAGGGGUGAAAUCUGUAGAUAUUGGAAAGAACACCAGUAGCGAAGGCUGAUUUCUGGACAUUAACUGACGCUCAUGUACGAAAGUUAGGGUAGCAAACAGGAUUAGAGACCCUGGUAGUCCUAACAGUAAACGUUGUAUACUAGGUGGUGGCGUAUUGAUCACGUCACUGCCGCAGCUAACGCAUUAAGUAUACCGCCUGGGGAGUAUGCCGGCAACGGUGAAACUCAAAGGAAUUGACGGGGGCCCGCACAAGCAGUGGAGCAUGUUGUUUAAUUCGAUGAUACGCGAGGAACCUUACCAGGUCUUGACAUAUACCUGCAUUAUAUAGAGAUAUAUAAGUCUUCGGACAGGUAUACAGGUGCUGCAUGGUUGUCGUCAGCUCGUGCCGUGAGGUGUUGGGUUAAGUCCCGCAACGAGCGCAACCCUUAUCCUUUGUUGCUAACACUUAAGGUGAGCUCUCUAAGGAGACUGCCGGUGACAAACCGGAGGAAGGUGGGGAUGACGUCAAAUCAUCACGGCCCUUAUGACCUGGGCUACAAACGUGCUACAAUGGGCGGCACAGAGAGUCGCAAUACCGCAAGGAUGAGCUAAUCUCAAAAAACCGUCCUCAGUUCGGAUUGGAGUCUGCAACUCGACUCCAUGAAGUUGGAAUUGCUAGUAAUCGCAUAUCAGCCAUGAUGCGGUGAAUACGUUCCCGGGCCU
rnacentral:rRNA from 1 species